GCAAUUAGAAGAGUCAUUCAAGGAGUGCCUCCAUGAACGAGAGUCAAGGGAAGUAUAGGCAAAUAAGAAGAUACUUGAAAUCAUUAAUUUAGGUCCAUUAAUGGUGUUUAUGAACUCAACACCCAAAGAACCCUUUUAUCCUUCGACACCACUUGCUCCCCAUUAUGUCCUCCAAGAGCAAAAAUGAUUCUUCUCCAAAGCCUAUAAUCCAAAGCCAUAUGUUGUUGAAGAGACAAGCAACAUCAUGUCAAAUCUUGCCAAUAUUGAGGGCAUUGUUAACCAUGGCCUAUUUAUAGUGUUAUAUGACACCUGUUAUGUGCGAAAGCAACUUUUUGACGAGCACUUCUCCAAUUUAAGGUCAAGCCAAGGACCUAAAAUUAUAAAUUAUUGGGAAGCAUCCUAAUUACUUCCUUUAACUUUUUUUUUAAAAUUUUAUAUAACUAGUGAUACUUCUCUUUUUUAAUGUGUGCAUAAAAUCCUUCUCAUGCUUUUUGUUGAUUAUUUUAUAGAUCCUGAGUGUUAGGUUUGAUGCAUGAAAGUAAGCAACUCCAGCAUCUUUUGGAAUCACACCUAGAAAGGGGAGUACAAUUCUAUACUUUUGAGCCUCUUACCAAAUUGCUUACCCCUAUUGAAAUGACUAGAUUUUUCAUUUUCAAAAGAUCCUGAAUUAAAUUAAAAAUAGAAAAUUCAAACAACGUUAUAGUAUUUAUAUUUUGCUAAGGGAAAUCGGCUGAAAUAAAAAUCAAACCAAAAACCACUUAAAUCAGGAGUGAAUCAGAGUAAAACCCAAAUGCAACCUUCUAGAUAUUAAAUUGAACCAAACCCAUUCGGUUUGAAUCGAAUCAGGAUCAGACCAUUGCAUUAGGAGAGAGAAACUCAUUUCUUUCCUCUCUACUUCGCACGAUCGGCGUCUUCCCCCAAUUCUCUCGUUGUUUUCCGACAAAACAGACAUGCAUACCGGUGAUAUAGCACUCUAAGUUCGUCUUCUCGGCGAGAGGAACUCAGUUGUAGCCUCGGAUUAUGUGAUCGGAGGCAUCGAUGAGAGAAAUCGUGUCUAGGAUAUUUCGACACUGUGGCGUCACGUUUUCUGGUGAUUCCUGCCGUUACCGAUGAAGACAGUCUUCAAGGAAGCCUUCGGUUGACUUCUCUCCCCCAUGCGAGUGUUUUGCCUCUAACAAUCUUGAGGUUCAUGGCCGAUUUGUGAAAUCGCCAUGAAUGGCAGCUUAAAGCUCUUGUCGAGCUCGUUCCGGCCAACUAAAGGACUGGCCUCACCAAAAUAACGCCGGAAAUGGACUCCUUAGUGAAUUUCGAGUCAGAUGGUAUGGUCGUUCUUAAAUUCUGGGCGGGCUCGAUUUUCCGGCCAUUGUGUACUGUGGCCGGCGGCGAAGAUCCGCUGACCAGCCGGUGAGUCUCUGGUGAGACCCCCAGAAGGCAGAAUCAUUUUCCCCUCUCGCUAAUCAUGAAAUCGUAGUCCGAUUUUUGAUUGGCAAAAAUAUGUAGAAGAAGAGCUUGAUUUGAUAGUGCAUACGUCAUCCCUAAAUCUGCAUUCGAAAUGUCCAACGAAACGACCACGUUGAAGGUCGUUUCAAAGCUACACAGUAGCUUUUCCUGCUGGCCAAUUAGUUCUACGAGGCACCCUUGCUGGCCACUCUUCUUUGUAUUAUUUUAUUGCUUUCUUUGGCUUGGAUGGUGGAACUUUACGGCAAUCGUAAAGAGAGAGGAGUAGUAUAUAAAGAAAGAUAUUACAACAAAGAACUCAGCUCCCAAAAAUCCAAAGUGUUGCUGCACAUGCAAGUCAAAGGCAGCAAGGAGAACCAAUUCGGCCCCAACAAGUGAGGAAGAAGAAGUUGGCCAAGUGGACAAAUAGAGAAGAAAGGAAAAUGGAGGGAGUAGCAAUUUUAAAAGACUUGGAACGUUAGACACGCAAACAAGAAAAAAAGGAAAGUAAGUAGUUUGUUUAGUAACUUAUGCUAUUUAACUCCUUAUUCCAAUUUUUGCUUUUGAUAA